rnacentral:rRNA from 1 species
CCUACGGGAGGCAGCAGUGGGGAAUAUUGGACAAUGGGGGGAACCCUGAUCCAGCCAUGCCGCGUGUGUGAAGAAGGCCUUUUGGUUGUAAGGCACCUUUAAGCGAGGAGGAGGCUACCGAGAUUAUACUCUUGGAUAGUGGACGGUACUCGCAGAAUAAGCCCGGCUAACUCUGUGCCAGCAGCCGCGGUAAU